GCAUGGAGAUCCCGAAAUCAUUGUGCACGGCUCACCGUGGAGUCCAAUGUAUGAGGGCAACAUAUGGUUAUUUCCUACCAGGAACUGGCUUCCAACAAAAACUCGUCCUUCAAAAGUCACCCACUGAGGAAAGCAGAUUCUUCUGCAGGAUGUGAAGGGGAAACAUGAGGGAAGGAUUCCUGGGUACCAGAGAGAUCUGCUAUUCAGAUUGCCUGCUAACACUGGGCUUGAUUAAUGGAAACUAAGCAUUUUGAAGGAUACCCUCCAACCUUGCCUUUCCCUUUCCAUGUUCCCUUGGCAAAAAUCAGGUAUUUGAAAGCUGCAAUACAACAGCAUCAUCUUUCCAUCUUGUGGUAAAUAUUCUAUUAUUCCUUUAUCCUCCAUGCUGUUUAAAGGGAUUAAUUUAAAAUAUGAGCUCCUUUGUUCACAGAGAAAGUCUCCAAGGGGUGUGCAAACAAGAAUCUUUAGA